rnacentral:rRNA from 1 species
AGCGAACGCUGGCGGCAGGCCUAAUACAUGCAAGUCGAACGGCUCUUCGGAGCAGUGGCGGACGGGUGAGUAACACGUGGGAACGUGCCCUUUGGUACGGAACAACUGAGGGAAACUUUAGCUAAUACCGUAUGUGCCCCCAUUCUUAGCGGGAUGGGUGGGAAAGAUUUAUCGCCAUUGGAGCGGCCCGCGUUGGAUUAGCUAGUUGGUGGGGUAAAGGCCCACCAAGGCUACGAUCCAUAGCUGGUCUGAGAGGAUGAUCAGCCACACUGGGACUGAGACACGGCCCAGACUCCUACGGGAGGCAGUAGUAGGGAAUCUUGCGCAAUGGGCGAAAGCCUGACGCAGCCAUGCCGCGUGAAUGAUGAAGGUCUUAGGAUUGUAAAAUUCUUUCACCGGGGAAGAUAAUGACGGUACCCGGAGAAGAAGCCCCGGCUAACUUCGUGCCAGCAGCCGCCGUAA